UGAAAGCCUGCCACCGCCCCGUUGACGCCACUAGGGAAGCGAGAGGACCUGGAACCCGGAUAGAGCGGGCGCCAUGUUAAGUGUGGGGGCCCAUGAUGAUUCUGAGUUUUACUCAUAGCUCCCGCCAGCCCUGCUGGCCUGUGGGGAAACUUUUCUAACUUUUGCAGGAAAGAACAAAUAUAUCUUUGAGCUAAUUUUUAAUUGAGCAGUUUCGUGUCACUUCCGCCCAAAACAAAAAUGUCCUCCGGUAGCCUCAAACCAGCGCUGUAGUAAAGGGGGCAGAGGAAAAGGAAGACGGCGAUUGGUGAGAACUCGGUGAGCGACGGCCCGCAUGCCGCACCCUCAUUGGCUGCGCUGCGUGAGCCCAAAUCGUGUGCCUCCAGAGCUGCAGCUGUCUGUCGGAGACCUUGAUUGGCGAGUGGAGCCCUUCGGUGAAAAGUGAAACUGGGGAUAUUAACUGAUUAUUUCUAGUGGAGGAGUAGACACGAUUCAUUCAACUGGUGUGUGAAAUCUUCUCCUGCCCCACAGCUGUUUACCUGCCUCCCUCUCUAGCAGCAGCUUACCCAAGUCCUGCUGACCUUCUCUCUUCCUUGCUUCCUAAUGCAGUGUCCAGAUGUGGCCGGGCCCCUGGGUGGACUCUCCUUAUCUUCCCAGCCCGGUGGUCCAGACUCUGCACUUCAUUUCCCCAAGCAGGCAGCGAAACCACUGAGCUAAAUCCCCA
ensembl:lncRNA